rnacentral:rRNA from 1 species
UCCGUAGGUGAACCUGCGGAGGGAUCAUUACCGAGUUAUACAACUCAUCAACCCUGUGAACAUACCUAAACGUUGCCUCGGCGGGAACAGACGGCCCCGUGAAACGGGCCGCCCCCGCCAGAGGACCCCCUAACUCUGUUUCUAUAAUGUUUCUUCUGAGUAAAACAAGCAAAUAAAUUAAAACUUUCAACAACGGAUCUCUUGGCUCUGGCAUCGAUGAAGAACGCAGCGAAAUGCGAUAAGUAAUGUGAAUUGCAGAAUUCAGUGAAUCAUCGAAUCUUUGAACGCACAUUGCGCCCGCCAGUAUUCUGGCGGGCAUGCCUGUUCGAGCGUCAUUACAACCCUCAGGCCCCCGGGCCUGGCGUUGGGGAUCGGCGGAGCCCCCCGUGGGCACACGCCGUCCCCCAAAUACAGUGGCGGUCCCGCCGCAGCUUCCAUCGCGUAGUAGCUAACACCUCGCGACUGGAGAGCGGCGCGGCCACGCCGUAAAACACCCCAACUCUUCUGAAGUUGACCUCGAAUCAGGUAGGAAUACCCGCUGAACUUAAGCAUAUCAAUAAGCGGAGGA